rnacentral:rRNA from 1 species
CUUCAGUCUCCUCCUAUCCACCUCUAGCCUUGCGCGACCUGCCCACGCUCGCCGGCCAUGCCGCCGCCACUCUCCUUCCUCCACCCACCUCCCAACCCGCCUGUCCUCCACCCCUCCCCCUUCCACCAGCGUGCCCCCCACCGCCUAUCCCUCCGCGCCGACCCCCCAUUCCGAGCGGCGACGGUGGCGGCGGCAGCGGCAGCGGCCGAGAACCCGUACUCGGCGGCGCCCACUGCGGCGGACGUCGAGAUGUUCCGCGGCGGGGACGGCGUGUGGACGGCGCGGAGCCCGACGGUGGUGGUGCUGUGGGACCUCGAUAACAAGCCCCCGCGCGGGCCGCCCUUCGAGGCGGCCACCUCCCUCCGCGAGGCGGCGUCCCUCCUCGGCCGCGUCGACUCCGUCUCCGCCUUCGCCAACCGCCACGCCUUCACCCACCUCCCCGCCUGGGUCUCCGCCGACCGCCGCGAGCGCCGCGCCCUCGACCGCGCCGAGCGCACGGGCGCCGCCGCCCCGCCCGUCCCCUACUCCUGCGCCGUCUGCGGCCGCCGCUUCCCCACCCGCCCCGACCUCGCCCGCCACUUCCGCCAGCUCCACGAGCGCGAGCGCAACAAGAAGCUCGGCCGCCUCCGCUCCCUCAAGGGCAAGAAGCGCCAGAAGUUCCGCGAGCGCUACAUCUCCAACAACACCAAGUACCAGGACGCCGCGCGGGAGCUCCUCACCCCCAAGGUCGGCUACGGGCUCGAUUCCGAGCUCCGCCGCGCCGGCGUCCAUGUCCGCACUGUCCCGGACAAGCCGCAGGCUGCCGACCAGGCGCUCAAACGCCAGGUGAAGCACGCCAUCGCCUGCGGCGUCGACUGGGUCGUGCUCGUCUCCGAUGACUCCGACUUCACCGACACGGUGCGUAACGCACGCGCUGCCGCCCUGAGGAUGGUUGUGGUUGGGGAUGGGUGUCGCGCGCUCGGAAAGGUUGCUGAUAUUUGGCUGCCUUGGGACAGCGUGCAAAAUGGGGAGGUUGAUGAGGAGAUGAUGCGGAGUGGGAAGGUUCCAGAGUUUAGAUAUGAAGAGGACGAUGAGCAAGAUGAUGACGAGUUCAUAGUGGAUUGGGAUACAAAUGAAUUGGAUGAUGUUAUUGAUGAUAUUGUUACAAGCAGGACUAAAGUGUUUGGUUCUACAACAAUGUCUGCAUUUGCCGAAGAGGACAUUGUUGAUGGUAUAUUGGGGCUUCGACAUAAGGAGGAUGACAUGCUUUGGAGUAGCGACGACGAGGACGAGGAUGGUUAUCUGUGAGAUUUACACGGAUUGGCAGGUUUUGUGAGGCGCUACGAGGGAAGUCUCCAUACUGCAAUGAUCAACUGAUCAACAAGACAAUACCACUGGCUUGUGUUCUUGAAUUCUUGUCAUCUCUACGUGCACUACUUCAGGAUCCAAAGCUUGAUUGCUUUCCUCAGUGCCGCUCUGCACACAAGUAACCAGUAAUUUCAGUAUCUCUUGUUUCUUCACUUCAGAGCCACUUCUGUUUGGUCUUGGAUGAUCAUUCAUCCACGUUAAUAAAGAGAACAUCAUCACCCAACCUUCUUCAGGUGGUAUCCAUUUCUCUGGCAAGUAAGCUGUACCUGUAACUUAACCCCUCGCUAAUCUGUUGACAUGAACAUCAUAGCUUCAGCUGUCCUUUUUUGUCAGUUCCAUAAUGUCACCUCCAUAAGCAACAUUGCAUGUUCACCACAUUUUAUAUCAUCACCAUUGUUCAGCCUCUAAGUUUCCCUAUGCAGUUGUUUCGAACCAAUAUCAUCUGCUAGGCCUUUUGUUAGUUUUCUGUAGUUGGUAUCCUUGAUUUCUUUAACUAUUUUACCAAAUCUCUGUAGGAUAAGCAGCAUCUUGAAUUAUUAAUACUAACCCAGAUUGGGGCACUGAACUCCUGUUUUAAUGUUCCUGUCCUGCCUAUAAAGAAUUUCCCAUAAGGCCACCUCUUGAGAAAAAUGAACAGGGGAAAAUGUAGUGGGAUGUUUGGGGCACUAUAAGUCAACAAGGGUUGGUAACUCAUUACUGGGGGAAACUUUGCACAAAGUUUCAUUACGAUUAAUGGUGGCUUCAAGAUUUCUUGUAGGCAUCAUAAGUCAUUCAGUCUUAUAGCUCUUCAUUAUCUGCAUGCGGUCUUUUUCUUUUCCUCUCAGGUGCUCGUUUUGUCUGGUCCUUCAGUUUAAUGUUUUUAUUUAGCAGCCGUUAUUAUUGGCAAGAACCUAUGGAAUCUAUGUUUGGGCUCAUAACGGUUAGAUUGUUUGGGCUCAUAACACAUUAAAAUUUGCUCCUGCUAUUCAGCUAGAGCCUUGAGCAUUAUACAAGGAUGAACUGUAGGGGCAGCCCAUUACCUUCUGGGUGGAAUUGUCACAACAUGGGCAUCCUUGCUGAUUUUUGGGCACACAUACUUAUCCUCGAUUGGAUAAGUGCUGUACUGGAAAGCAGGUUGGCAAUAUGUGUCCUGCUUGUGUUUUGGGGAAAAUGGCUAACUUGAGGUACAAAUUUUGCAGCAUACUGGAACCCUUGGAUCAGGGGCCUUUGGUUCAAGAAGUUACAAAUUCCAUUUGAGAAACAGAUCCCAAAAGACCACUGAAUUCAAAUCAGCAGAACAGCUCUCGCCUGACAUUCAAGAUGCACUUUGGAUAACAAACAUGCCCCUAGGGCAGUAGCUGGAAGCGAAAGAGAGAACCUCAUAGUUGGAUAAAGUCUUAACCAGGACAGAAGUGCACCCUUGAGGCAGUCCGAAGGAACCAAGAUGAGCGGACAGGCGCUCAGUUGCAAAGAUGAUACUUGAAGAGUGUCUGAAGGCUUGCAAUGGCAUGUCCUGCAAAGGGUGGGUGGCAAUGUGGCAUGGUGUGAUGAGAACAUUGCUAAAAAUGUGGAUGCACUGUCAUGAAUGUGUGCCUUGAAGAUUAACCUGAAACUGUUAAUGCCGUGGGUCAAAGACAAGCU